UGAGGAAUCUUGCGCAAUGGGGGAAACCCUGACGCAGCAACGCCGCGUGAGUGAGGAAGGUCUUCGGAUCGUAAAGCUCUGUCAGUUGGGAAGAAACGCCUGAGGGUUAAUACCCUUCAGGCCUGACGGUACCAACAGAGGAAGCACCGGCUAACUCCGUGCCAGCAGCCGCGGUAAUCCGGGGGGUGCACGCGUUGUUCGGAAUUAUUGGGCGUAAAGAGCGUGUAGGCGGCCGGAUGUGUCAGAUGUGAAAGCCCUGGGCUUAACCCAGGAAGUGCAUGUGAAACUGUCCGGAUUGAGUAGGGGAGAGGGAAGUGGAAUUCCUGGUGUAGAGGUGAAAUUCGUAGAUAGCAGGAGGAACACCGGUGGCGAAGGCGACUUCCUGGCCCUAUACUGACGCUGAGACGCGAGAGCGUGGGUAGCAAACA
rnacentral:rRNA from 1 species